UAUGUUCACAUCAACUUUUAAUGUAAUGAUAAAUUAAAGCAAUAUUCAGUUUGACCCUCACAGUAUAAAAGAAACUGUCGGAUUAGUUCGACUAAUUUACACAAAGAGUAAAUGUUGGGAUUCAUAGAUUGGUUGUUAAGCCACCUGAAAUUCUUCAAGUUGAAGUUCAACCAUGACUGAUCUUAAAAAGCAUUGUUGUCAGUAUCAGUACAUAUGCUCUAAGAGUAGAGGAUAUGAAAGGGGAAUGAUGGUGGUUCUGUCGAUGAGGGCGUCGUUUCUUAUAAAUGUCUUCAGUAUUGGUGAUAUCAGUAUGUUAUAAGUUGAAAACUACCAUGAAUGGUCAGACACAAGUGUAAAUUUUAAUAUUGCAUGUUGUGAAAUUUGUCGCUGGACAGGUUAACAGAUUUCAUAUAUUUUUAAGUUGAAAAACCGCAGAAGUGUGUAGAGAUAUGUUCAUAUCAGGUGAUCUUACUCCAUUGAAAAUGAAGUUUCAAUGAGCCCACAAUGUGUGACAAGGGGAUAUAUAUACAAAGGUGUAUACCAGGGAUGGUAUCAUUCAGUGCACGUAUAAAAUGAAAAAGUUGUUGUCCUCUCUUUUGAGGAUGUUAAAUGUUGAAGUUUACUUGGAAGCUGUUGAUUUGAGAAGACACCAACUUGUGACCAAGUGUAAGCUCACCAACAUGGCCAAGAAAACAUUUAAUUUGUUCGAAUCGUUGCAACACUUCUUUUCGUUUUGAAGUUGAAACUAGUUCUAUUUAUUCUGGUUGUGAAAAAUGUGAGAUUAAUUUGCACAAAUCUAGUCAAAGAAAGACUUAUUUAUUGACUUAAGAACUCUUGUUAUACUUAUUCUAUACAAACCAUUUAAAUCAAUAGUAUAUUAUAUACAUGUAGUUCCUUUGCAACAUAAGGUCAUUUCGGAGAAAAAGUGAUAUUAAUUUAUGUAGAACUAGUCAAAGGAAGACAGAUUGUAUGAAGUACACUUAUUAUACUCAUUCUCUUCAAAAUAUUCAUAGUUUGUCUCUGUGCAUUAUUUUUUGAUAACCCACAGAAGCUAGUAACAUUUCACAUGAUCAUGUAUAUUGGUCAUUAUCUGAUGACAGACUUGUCUACUUUGUAUUUGAAAUUUCUUUUUUUAUGCAUAUUAACAGUACUAUACAUUAGGUUAGAAUUAAUACACACUGCAAACAUGUAUAGCUAAAGACAGUAUAAAUUUGUACUACCAUUAAAAUUUGAAGUAUAUGAUUGUAGUUCUACAUGUACAUAUACUAUAAAAUUAAUAAGUAUAUAUUAGGUUAAGUUAUAUACUUGAUUGUAAUCUUCUACAUCUGAGCUUAAUAUCUAAAGUGAAAGAUAGCUAUCUUUUUUAAUGUCUGAAGCCCAUUGUGGGGUAACCCCAUUAAAUAUGAUUGGAUAUUUUAAUGUUUGUUGGAAAAUGACAAAACUACAUAAUCUAGAUUUUGCUAUGUUUGUUAAAAGUUAGGAUUAUCUUGUUCCAUUUCUACUUAACACGUGUACAAUUUACUACAAAGCUACAUCGUUUAAUCUGUAUAUAAUUUAAUAAGUUAUAAGUAAGACAUGAUACAAGUGUAAAUGUCGGGUUGAAUUUUUAAGCUCUAGCUCUAUUUUCAAAGUUCAUUUCAUUUGGAACAACAUGUAACAGGUUAUCAUCUAAAAUUUAUUCCCUUUGUGAAUUGUGUCACUAAUACUUUUGAAUGGAAUACCUUCCUUUAUUGAGUGUUGUAAAAGAAAAAUACCUUUAGAAGCUUUCAUUUGAUAUAUGAAAUUCUAACACGAUCCGAUUAAUUUUCCUAUUAAAAAAAAGGGCUGAAAAAAGUGAUUUAUUAAUUCAUUAUACAAAAAAUUCACUGUUCUGAUGUCACAAUCAUUACAUCAUGGCGUCAAAAGGCAUAGCGGUGCACUAGAAAAGAAACCAUCUGAACUCCAAACAAUGAUUUAUUCUACGCCAAAUCACUAAAUGAGAUAUAUUUUUUCUUAAUUAUAUAUUUUUUAAAAUUCUAUUUUCUAAAUUAAUGGCGUUAACAAAAGGUGUAUAGAUAUAACCCACUAGAAACUCACUAGAAUUUUAAUUACCGGUACUUUCAACCCGUAUCAUGCUGGACACAAUUAAUUCAGCGACCAGUGUAGAUCAUGACCAGCCUGCACAUGUGUGCAGUCUGAUCAUGAUAUACAGUGUUUGUAAUCAGUCUGUUAAUGGUAGUGUCCAAAUUGAAAGAUAGACAAGUUCAUUAUGGAAAUUUAGCAGGGUAAGGUUUAAAAGAGUUUAGAAAAAUAAUAUACAUGUAUGUUUAACAGUUUUAUUGCUUGAGCAUAUCAAAUUACCUAGAAAAGUCUGAAAAACAGGCAAGAUUUAAUGAUGUAAGAAUCAUAUUUGUAUGUCAAGUCUUUUAUUAUAAUUUCUUGUUAAAUUUAUAUUCUUUCGUGAAGAACUUGCUAUGCUUGCCUCACUACAUGUACCAUAAAUACGGUAUGAACAGUCAGGGUUGUAACUGCUUCAAGUUGUAAUAUGGCAGUUCAUAACCCAUUUGAGUUAUUGCUUAAUAUACUUUCAUAACUUGUUUUAGUUAUCAUAAAACCUGUGUUUAGCUAAUUCCUCAUUUUGAAUGAGACUAAUGCAAUUAUUUCCUGAAUCCUUGAAUUUUUAUCUUUCCAGCCAUGCAGUAAAUUUUUUUACACAAGGAUGAUAAAGGUUUAUAAAAGUUUUAAAGCUAUAAAACUCUUAACAUCCCUUUUAUGCUUAUCAGGUCAUGAUCAGACUAAAAGAGAAUUUGAUUAACCACAGUUUGCUACUAAUUUUACUUUAAAGGUCACUUUGUGAAUACAGCAAGAAGACUUUUUGAAUAACUUACCUGAGUUAACCAUAUACUUAUAUGACUAAUACAGGUUAUAAAAGGCUUGAAAAGUAACUGAAAUACUGUAGGUUACAUAACUUAAAACAGUUACACCCCUGACUGAUGAAUACUUGUUAAAACACAUGAUAUUUCAAUUGUAUGUUUAAUAGAGAAAUUAUAAGAAAGAGUUGUAAAUUUACAUGUACAUUGUACUUUGUUACUGACCUGAAACAUUGAGUGUGGAGAAUUUUAACAUUAUUGAUCAGUUUCAGUUGAAAUUACACACCAAAUUGUAUAAUCUGUUAUGAGCCUAAAGUGUAAUUAUAGGUACAUAGAUUUGUAUCAAGAAAUCUGCAAGAGUUCUGCAGCGGAAAUAUUGCACGACUUUAGGAGCACCGUAUUAUCCUGUGAAAAGGGGCCUCCGUGGCCGAGUGGUUAAGGUCACUGACUUCAAAUCACUUGCCCCUCAUCGAUGUGGGUUCGAGCCUCACUCGGGACGUUGGAUUCUUCAUGUGAGGAAGCCAUCCAGCUGGCUUACGGAAGGUCGGUGGUUUUACCCAGGUGCCCGCUCGUGAUAAAAUAAUGCACAGAGGGGCACCUGGGGUCUUCCUCCACCAUUAAAAGCUGGAAAGUCACCAUAUGACCUAUCAUGUGUCGGUGCGACGUUAAAUCGAACAAAACAAAAUAUCCUGUGAAAAAAUGGGGGCAGGUUUCUUGAUGUAAAUCUAAUAAUCUUUUUAUUACAUCCAUGUCUACACUUAAAUAACUGCAUAAAUGAGUCGUAUUUGUUAUUAAGCCUGAGUGAGAUUGAAAAUUAUUCUGGCAACAGAACUGUUUAAAUGCGACGGCAUGCACGAAAUUUACAUCACAAGUUACGUCAGAUAUCCAAUAUAAAAUUUGAGCGUCAAUAUGGAAAAAAAACAUUGAUGUUUCAGGUUCCAGUGAUAAUAGUUUUUAGCUCUCGACUAUUCAAAGAAUAAGUAGAGCUAUCCUACUCACCAUGGCGUCUGCGUCAGCGUCACACCUUGGUUAAGUUUUUCGUAUCAGUCCACAUUUUGACAAAGUCUUUUGAGAUAAAGCUUUGAGACUUUCAGCACUUGUUAGUCACCACCAUGUCCAGUUAUAGGCAAGAGCACAUAACUUCAUCAAGAAUUUUGGCUGAAUUAUGGCCCCUUUUGCCUUAGAAAUCAUGGUUAAAUUUUUCAUACCAGUUCAUAUUUUGACAAAGUCUUUUAAGAUAAAGCUUUGAAACUAUCAACACUUGUUUACUAUCACCAUGUCCAGUUAUAGGCAAGAGUACAUAACUCCAUCAAGGAUUUUGGCUGAAUUAUGGCCCCUUUUGACUUAGAAAUCUUGGCUAAGUAUUUCGUACCAGUCCACAUUUUGUCAAGUCUUUUAAAAUAAUGCGUUGAAACUUUCAACACUUGUUUACCAUCACCAUGUCCAGUAAAAGGCCAGGAGUACAUAACUCCAUCAAGGAUUUUUCCUGAAUAUGGCCCCUUUUGACUUAGAAAUCUUGGUUAAGUUUUUCGUACCAGUUUAUAUUUUGUGUUAAGUGUUUUACAUAUGGCUUUGAAACUUUUAUCACUUGUUCAGUAUAAUAGUCUCUAUCUGUAGGCAAGAAUACAUAACUCUGUCAUCUACUUUGGUUAAAUUAUGGCCAUUUCUGCACUUUUAAAUUGGUUCAGUUUUUCAUACACAUUGCCAUUUAGUGCAAGACUUAUCAAAAUCCACAAAUACAGGAACAUUGUUUGUUUAUUAAUCCUCCGCCGUGGCGGAUGGAUUAUAGGAAUGGUCUGCGUCCGUCCUUCCGUCUGUCUCUCCGUCUGUAACAAAAUCGUGUCCGGUCCAUAUCUCCUAAACCCCUUGAAGGAUUUUCAUGAAACUUGGGUCAAAUGAUCACCUCAUCAAGACGAUGUGCAGAACCCAUGAGUCAGCCUUGUCGGUUAAAGGUCAAGGUCACAACUCAAGGUCAAAGGUUUGAGCCUGCCAUUUUGUGUCCGCUCUAUAUCUCCUAAACCCCAUGAAGGAAUUUUAUAAAACUUGGGUCAAAUGAUCACCUCAUCAAGACGAUGUGCAGAACCCAUGAGUCAGCCAUGCCGGCUCAAGGUCAAGGUCUUCCAUUUGGUGUCCACUCUGUAUCUCCUUAACCCCUUGAAGGAUUUUCAUCAAACUUGGGUCAAAUGAUCACCUCAUCAAGAACUCAUGAGUCAGCCAUGUCAACUCAAGGUCAAGGUCACAACUGAAGGUCAAAGGUUUCAGCUCUGUAUCUCCUAAACCCCUUGAAGGAUUUUCAUGAAACUUUGGUCAAAUGAUCACCUCAUCAAGACGUUGUGCAGAAUUCAUGAGUCAGCCAUGUCAGUUCAAGGUCACGGUCACAGCUAAAAUCAAAGGUUUACCCUUAAACUAUCCAUAGCAGUGGCGGGGGAUUUAGCUGUCGUUCAGACUGCCUUGUUCUAUUUGUUUUCUUUUGUCUGAAAAUUCUUGGUAAUAUUUUGACCUCUCUUUCAAUCAAUUCUUUGAAUAAUGGAGCGCGCUGUCAUACGACAGCUCUUGUUUAUAUAUAAUUAUGUAGUUUAAAAGCAAACUUUUUAACUUCUAGUGUAAAUUACUAAAUAGAAAAAAUGAAAUAAAAAACUUUUGUAUAUAAGUCUAUGCGUUCCCUGUUAUUGGUUCUAAAUAUCAGUCGAUUUGUUGUAAUACUUGUAUCAGGGGAUGGCGGUGGACAUUUCGUGUUCUACUAUGAGCUCUUGUUCUAUUGGCUUUGAGAAACUAAAAUUCAUGAUGAGUUUGUUGAAAUAUUGUUCAGAAUUUGAAAUUUCAUGUUCAGACUUUGAGUUCAAAUGCUGGAAUUACUGUUACAGUGUUUUAAUGCCCCCGAAGGUGGGCAUAUUAAAAUCGCACUGUCCGUCCAUGCGUGCGCCUGGUAAAUUCUUGUCCGGACUGUAACUCUUCCAUCCAUAAAGGGAUUUCGAAAUAACUUGGCAUAAAUGUUCACCAUAAUGAGACGAAGUGUCCUGCGCAAAACCCAGACCCCUAGCUCCAAGGUCAAGGUCACACUUAGAGGUCAAAUGUUAACAUGGUCUGUUUCAUGUCUGGUCCAUAACUCUGCCAUCCAUGAAGAGAUUUUGAAAGAACUUGGCAUAAAUGUUUACCAUAAUGAGACGACAUGUCAUGCGCAAGACCGAGACCCCUAGCUUCAAGGUCAAGGUCACACUUACAAGUCAAAGGUUAACAGGGUAUGUUUCGUGUCCGGUCCAUAACUCUGCCAUUUAUUAAGGAAUUUUGAAGUUACUUGGCAUAAAUGUUCACCAUACUGAGACAACAUGUCGUGAGCAAGACACAGACCCCUACCUCCAAGGUCAAGGUCACACUUAGAGGUUAUAGGUUAACAUGAUCUGUUUCUUGUUCGGUCCAUAACUCUGCCAUUGAUCUAGGGAUUUUGAAAUUACUUGGCAUAAAUGUUCCCUAUAGAGAUGAGGUGCCAUGUGCAAGACGCAGACCCCUAGCUCCAAGGUCAAGGUUACACUUGGAAGUCAAAGGUGUUUCUUGUCUGGUCCAUAACUCUGCCAUUUAUCAAGGGAUUUGAAAAUAAUCUGACACAAAUGUAAACCAUAUUGAGAAGAUGUGUCACAUUUUUGACCGAGGUCUCUUAGGUCAAGGUCACAAAAUGAUAUGUGAUUUUUUUGUGAAUACAACUGUGGCAUUCUUGGGCCUACUUUGGGAGCAUUUGUCACCAAUAGUGACAGCUCUAGUUAAGACUGACAUUGUUUCUGGACAGAACUUUAAUAUUUUGCCAUAUGAUUUAGGUAUCAUAUUCUUGUGACCAAAAUUUGGUAUGUUUCUUAAGAUGUAUGUAUCUAAUUAAGUAUAUGUUGAAGUAAAUAUUUUUUUAUUAUUCUAACUAAAUAAAACAUCAAAUUUUAUGUUCCAACAUAGCAAUAUACAUGUAUGUUCUUUUUCUUUGAUUAUUGUAUUUGUUAUUAUGUCAUAUGCUCUAAAUGAGCAGUGGCUUUGAAAUAAAAAUCUUGAAGUCUUAAAAAAAA